CGGAGGAUCCAAGCGUUAUCCGGAUUUAUUGGGUUUAAAGGGUGCGUAGGCGGCCUGUUAAGUCAGGGGUGAAAGACGGUGGCUCAACCAUCGCAGUGCCUUUGAUACUGACGGGCUUGAAUGCAGCUGAGGUAGGCGGAAUGUGACAAGUAGCGGUGAAAUGCAUAGAUAUGUCACAGAACACCAAUUGCGAAGGCAGCUUACUAAAGUGUGAUUGACGCUGAGGCACGAAAGCGUGGGAUCAAACAGGAUU
rnacentral:rRNA from 1 species